rnacentral:lncRNA from 1 species
CAGCGGGAGUCCGGUGCGGGACGUAGCAGCCGCGCCGCGCCGCGCCGACGCGCACAGUCCGGGGCUCCGCCGCCGCGCUCAGCACUCUGGGAGUUUCCGCUCCUCUUUUAUAGUAGACUUUUUAUUUUUAGCCUUUUAUUGUUAUGCAAGGAAUAACUUACCAAAAAAUGGCCGGAUCGGACUCCGCGACCCGCCACGUCCGGCCGCGGCCGACGCGCGGAUUAUAACCUCCGGACCGCGGAGCGCUCGACCCGCGGAGGGGGAUGGAGGGCCGCAUGGAGGGCCGCGACUUCCCCGCCGGACACUUCCAGCCCGGAAAAUACUACCCGUCCCACCACCUCACCAUGGCGCCGCACUCAGGCAGUGGGCUGAUGGGAAGCUCCUCAGCCUCCUUCAUGGGGACGAUCCUGGCCAGCAGUCUGGGUUCGACUCCCUCCCACCCCUCUGGCGCCCCCUCCUCCCCGUCCUCGCCCUCCUUCCGUGGAGGAGCUCACUCCAGCGCCUCGCAAAUCUGGUUUCCCCACUCACAUGAAGGUAAGACCCCACCUGUGUGUGUGCUUCUCAAAUCUAUACACUUCACACACACACACACACACACACACACUCACUUCCUGUAGAGCGUCACAUGGACCGCGGAGCGCAGGGAGCGCACGUCCAUUUGUAACCUGAGAAGCCAUUUUAGCGCUUCAGCACGCUGCCCAGCUCAGGUAGCAGAACGGCAGCCCCAUCCUGCAGCUUCGUCCGCUGAGGAUUGUGGGAAAGUUCAUCUCACCGAGGAAUGGGGGUCCUGGGGAGUCACGCACGCGCGGCCAUCUUUCCCCCC